UGUAUGCGAUUUAGUAUAUUGUGGGAAAGGAACAUGUCACCUUUCUUCCUCCGAUUUACUCGGUUUCAGAUGCGAUUGUGAUUCUGGUUGGAAGAAGCCUAACAUUGGUUCUUUCCAAUUACCACCAUGUGCUCUUCCCAAUUGUACUGUUGAUUUAAACUGUGGCAAUGGUUCUUCGUCACUCCCUUCUUCUCCACCUACAACAGUGAAUGAUCCUUGUUUGUUGAAUUUGUGUGGGGAUGGAACUUGUGAGAGUAAUGGCUCUGAUUUUAGGUGUAAGUGCAAUGAAGGCUCAGCCAAUCUACUCGACGAUCCAAAGCUGAUUUGCAUUAAGAAGUGUAAAUUGCUUUUCUCUUAUCUCAUUUUGCUUAGUUUUUCCUUCUAUUGCUCUUUCAUAC